rnacentral:rRNA from 1 species
GGCGGACGGGUGAGUAACGCGUGGGUAACCUGCCUUAUACUGGGGGAUAACAUUCUGAAAAGGAUGCUAAUACCGCAUAAGCGCACAGUGUCGCAUGACACAGUGUGAAAAACUCCGGUGGUAUAAGAUGGACCCGCGUCUGAUUAGCUAGUUGGUGAGAUAAUAGCUCACCAAGGCAACGAUCAGUAGCCGACCUGAGAGGGUGAUCGGCCACAUUGGGACUGAGACACGGCCCAAACUCCUACGGGAGGCAGCAGUGGGGAAUAUUGCACAAUGGGGGAAACCCUGAUGCAGCGACGCCGCGUGAAGGAUGAAGGUUUUCGGAUCGUAAACUUCUAUCAGCAGGGAAGAAAAUGACUGUACCUGACUAAGAAGCCCCGGCUAACUACGUGCCAGCAGCCGCGGUAAUACGUAGGGGGCAAGCGUUAUCCGGAAUUACUGGGUGUAAAGGGUGCGUAGGCGGUUUGCUAAGUUAGGUGUGAAAGCCCGGGGCUCAACCUCGGGACUGCACUUAAAACUGGCAAACUAGAAUACAGGAGAGGUAAGUGGAAUUCCUAGUGUAGCGGUGAAAUGCGUAGAUAUUAGGAGGAACACCAGUGGCGAAGGCGACUUACUGGACUGUUAUUGACGCUGAGGCACGAAAGCGUGGGGAGCGAAC